rnacentral:misc_RNA from 1 species
GAUGAAGAACGUAGCGAAAUGCGAUAAGUAAUGUGAAUUGCAGAAUUCAGUGAAUCAUCGAAUCUUUGAACGCACAUUGCGCCCGCCAGUAUUCUGGCGGGCAUGCCUGUUCGAGCGUCAUUUCAACCAUCAAGCCCCAGGCUUGUGUUGGGGACCUGCGGCUGCCGCAGGCCCUGAAAACCAGUGGCGGGCUCGCUGUCACACCGGGCGUAGUAGAUUUUAUCUCGCUCAGGGCGUGCUGUGGGUUCCGGCCGUUAAAAAGCCUUUUUUACCCAAGGUUGACCUCAGAUCAGGUAGGAAGACCCGCUGAACUUAAGCAUAUCAAUAAGCGGAAGA